UGCGCAGGCGGUUAUAUAAGUCAGAUGUGAAAUCCCCGGGCUCAACCUGGGAACUGCAUUUGAGACUGUAUGGCUAGAGUGUGUCAGAGGGGGGUAGAAUUCCACGUGUAGCAGUGAAAUGCGUAGAUAUGUGGAGGAAUACCGAUGGCGAAGGCAGCCCCCUGGGAUAACACUGACGCUCAUGCACGAAAGCGUGGGGAGCAAACAGGAUUAGAUACCCUGGUAGUCCACGCCCUAAACGAUGUCAACUAGUUGUCGGGACUUAAUUGUCUUGGUAACGCAGCUAACGCGUGAAGUUGACCGCCUGGGGAGUACGGUCGACAAGAUUAA
rnacentral:rRNA from 1 species